AGGAGGGAGCCGUCGAAGGUGGGAUGGAUGAUUGGGGUGAAGUCGUAACAAGGUAGCCGUAUCGGAAGGUGCGGCUGGAUCACCUCCUUUCUAAGGAG
rnacentral:rRNA from 1 species